rnacentral:tRNA from 1 species
AGGAAUUUAGGAUAAUAAGACCAAGGGUCUUCAAAACCCUAAGUAGAAGUGAAACCCCUCUAACUCCUG